ACCCCCCGCCUGUCCCUGACUCCUGCAGGCAGCAGGAACAAAGGUAAAGAUGGACACCGUGAAACCGUGUCAUUUCAGUCUUAUUUUGGAUUAAACACCGUCGUCAACUGCCCAGGCUGAUGAAGAAGACUCGAAGGUGAAACUCAGGAGGGAUCGGGUUGAAGCUUGGAGGACAGAAGUUACAUGAAAGCUGCAAGGACACAAGGGUGUGCCCCACCCCACACACAGUGCCUGCUGGAUGUGGACAACAGUGACCCUGAAAGGAAGAAGCAGCAUAAAGAAAAUCUCCGGUCGAGCUGCAAUGCAUUAUGGGAUACGCUGGGCCAGUAAGGAUCCAUUGGACCAGUCUUUCGAUUCGGGCCGAAGGAAGGACCCAUUUGUCGGCUGCAUCGGAGGAAUCUUCGGUUUUGGACGGCCUUCGUCGCGGCGCUGUGACGUAUGCAGCCGAUGCAGCCUUCGGAGGACCCGGCCCACCGUUUUGGACACAGCCAUGGUCCUGCCAUGGAAUGACAAAUCUGCAGUUUACUGUCUUUGGUUUAUUCUGGGUAAAAUGAAAUCAACUUU